CGCCUGUCAGAUCACGCUGCCUCUGUGCUGUAUUUCUCCUUCAGAGGCUUCAAGUCUUCUUGUGCUGCAAACACACGAGUCCUUCCUGCUCAGAACCUGACGUAAUCCAGCAUGAUGUUUCCACCAGGACUUUGACAGAAGAAGUUUCACUUUCGUAGCCCUGCACAGGAAAACAAAACAACCUCAGACAUGUCAGCGAGACGCUGCUGAUUUGAGCCGAGGUGAUUUUCAGAGGGGAGCGCCGUCUUGCACGCCCCCUCUUAACGGGGAGACGCCCCUCGAUGCACCAGCGGGGUACACGAUGCUGCUUGGACUUCAUCGGCAGGAAUGAAUCAUGGGAGCUGUCUUUCAGGUAACCCCUCUUCCACCUCAUGCUGGCUUGGCCACACAGCAGGGGUCCCAACGCUAAACUCUUCCCACCACCUUCUAAAACCUUCUUACACUCCAUUGGGAACAAGCAUCUUAACACCAGAACCUUUUUGUUCCUUAGCAGAACAGAGUGAAUCCUCUCGUCAGUCUUGUACAAUCUUUGUCUCUGUGGGUGGAGGCGGGCCUGCUAGCUUAAGCAGGCAUGAUGCACCGACAGUGCUUCGCAAGGCAACAAAAACCAGGAGGAAAGGAGAGGAAUGCAUAAGUCCGGUGUGGGAAUAUUCGGUCUUCAAAGUCAACAAGGAUGAGGAAACUUUUACAAGAACUUUCACAGCAUACAUGACUUUACGCUACUAAUGAAAUAAAAUGUGUAGUAUAC